rnacentral:rRNA from 1 species
ACACGUAGGGGGCGAGCGUUGUUCGGAAUUACUGGGCGUAAAGGGCAUGUAGGCGGUUUUGUAAGACUGGCGUGAAAGGCUGCAGCUUAACUGUAGCAUUGCGCUGGUAACUGUAAGACUUGAGUCACGGAGAGGGAGCUAGAAUUCCAGGUGUAGGGGUGAAAUCUGUAGAUAUCUGGAAGAAUACCAAUGGCGAAGGCAAGCUUCUGGCCGAUGACUGACGCUGAGGUGCGAAAGCGUGGGUAGCAAACAGGAUUAGAUACCCUGGUAGUCCACGCGGUAAACGAUGCACACUAGGUGCCGGGGCGGACGCUUCGGUGCCGGAGCCAACGUGGUAAGUGUGCCGCCUGGGGAGUACGGCCGCAAGGCUGAA